rnacentral:rRNA from 1 species
AUUGAACGCUGGCGGCAGGCCUAACACAUGCAAGUCGAGCGGAUGCAGGGAGCUUGCUCCUGGAUUCAGCGGCGGACGGGUGAGUAAUGCCUAGGAAUCUGCCUGGUAGUGGGGGAUAACGUCCGGAAACGGGCGCUCAUACCGCAUUCGUCCUGAGGGCGUACGUGGGGGAUCUUCGGACCUCACGCUAUCAGAUGAGCCUAGGUCGGAUUAGCUAGUUGGUGGGGUAAAGGCCUACCAAGGCGACGAUCCGUAACUGGUCUGAGAGGAUGAUCAGUCACACUGGAACUGAGACACGGUCCAGACUCCUACGGGAGGCAGCAGUGGGGAAUAUUGGACAAUGGGCGAAAGCCUGAUCCAGCCAUGCCGCGUGUGUGAAGAAGGUCUUCGGAUUGUAAAGCACUUUAAGUUGGGAGGAAGGGCAGUAAGUUAAUACCUUGCCGUUUUGACGUUACCAACAGAAUAAGCACCGGCUAACUUCGUG